GCCGGGUGCGGUGGCGCAUGCCUGUAGUCCCAGCUAGUACAGAGGCUGAGGUGGGAGGAUCACUUGAGCCUAGGAGUUCUGGGCUGUUGUGCGCUAUGCCAGUCAGGUAUCCACACUAAGUUUGGCAUCAAUAAUGUGACCUUCCGGGAGUGGGGACUACCAGGUUGCCUAAGGGAGGGGUGAUCUGGCCCAGGUUGGAAACGGAGCAGGUCAAAACUCCUGUGCUGAUCAGUAGUGGGAUUGUACCUUUGAAUAUCCACAGCACUCCAGCCUGAGCAACAUAGUGAGAUCCUGUCUCUA
ensembl:misc_RNA Metazoa_SRP Metazoan signal recognition particle RNA